rnacentral:rRNA from 1 species
GGUGAACGCUGGCGGCAGGCCUAACACAUGCAAGUCGAGCGGCAGCGCGGGGGCAACCCUGGCGGCGAGCGGCGACGGGUGAGGAAUACAUCGGAAUCUGCCUUGUUGUGGGGGAUAACGUAGGGAAACUUACGCUAAUACCGCAUGAGACCGUAAGGUGAAAGUGGGGGAUCGCAAGACCUCACGCGACAAGAUGAGCCGAUGUCGGAUUAGCUAGUUGGUGAGGUAAAGGCUCACCAAGGCAACGAUCCGUAGCUGGUCUGAGAGGAUGAUCAGCCACACUGGGACUGAGACACGGCCCAGACUCCUACGGGAGGCAGCAGUGGGGAAUAUUGGACAAUGGGCGCAAGCCCUGAUCCAGCCAUGCCGCGUGUGUGAAGAAGGCCUUCGGGUUGUAAAGUCACUUUUGUUGGGUAAAGGAAAUACCUGUCGA